rnacentral:rRNA from 1 species
UACAGAGGUCCCAAGCGUUGUUCGGAUUCACUGGGCGUAAAGGGUGCGUAGGUGGUGAGGUAAGUCGGAUGUGAAAGCUCGGAGCUCAACUCCGAAAUGGCAUUGGAAACUACCUUGCUCGAGGGUUGGAGGGGGGACUGGAAUGCUUGGUGUAGCAGUGAAAUGCGUAGAUAUCAAGCGGAACACCAGUGGCGAAGGCAGCUUGCUACACAGUUAUUGACGCUGAGGCACGAAAGCGUGGGGAUCAAACAGG